UCCGGGGAAGUUCAGCGGAUGAACGUUCGGCUACGGACCGAAAAGGCGCUGGUUCGAAUCCAGCCCCCGGAC
rnacentral:tRNA from 1 species